rnacentral:rRNA from 1 species
GAUGAACGCUGGCGGCGUGCCUAAUACAUGCAAGUCGAGCGAACAGAUGAGGAGCUUGCUCCUCUGACGUUAGCGGCGGACGGGUGAGUAACACGUGGAUAACCUACCUAUAAGACUGGGAUAACUUCGGGAAACCGGAGCUAAUACCGGGUAAUAUAUUGAACCGCAUGGUUCAAUAGUGAAAGACGGUUUUGCUGUCACUUAUAGAUGGAUCCGCGCCGCAUUAGCUAGUUGGUAAGGUAACGGCUUACCAAGGCAACGAUGCGUAGCCGACCUGAGAGGGGGAUCGGCCACACUGGAACUGAGACACGGUCCAGACUCCUACGGGAGGCAGCAGUAGGGAAUCUUCCGCAAUGGGCGAAAGCCUGACGGAGCAACGCCGCGUGAGUGAUGAAGGUCUUCGGAUCGUAAAACUCUGUUAUUAGGGAAGAACAAAUGUGUAAGUAACUAUGCACGUCUUGACGGUACCUAAUCAGAAAGCCACGGCUAACUACGUG